rnacentral:rRNA from 1 species
UACAGAGGGGGCAAGCGUUAUUCGGAAUUAUUGGGCGUAAAGGGCGCGUAGGCGGCUUGGCAAGUGGAAGGUGAAAUCCCUCGGCUUAACCGAGGAACUGCCCUCCAAACUGCUUCGCUUGAGACCGGGAGAGGUGAGUGGAAUUCCCAGUGUAGCGGUGAAAUGCGUAGAUAUUGGGAGGAACACCAGUGGCGAAGGCGGCUCACUGGACCGGUACUGACGCUGAUGCGCGAAAGCAUGGGGAGCGAACGGG